ACCCUGAAUAUCGAGAUAAUUGUUGUUUUUAUUGUGGUUUUGUAUUGAAUUAUUCCAUUGUUUUUAAGCAAGGAGUUGAGGUUUAAAGUUGUUGUGGAACGUACAUGGUGGUUCGGUUUUUCGUACGGUUUUGAGUGAUUUAACUUGUACACACUGGGUGCAUAAUAAUGUAAAGGUACACUGAAUAGCAGUAAUGACCAACAGCAACAAACAGAUCACAUCAAGGUAAGUCUGUUGGCUGUGUUUUAAUGAAGACCAUCGCUGGACUUCAGGAUCUUCCUCCGUUCAGCUCAAGGUGAGGCGCUGGUUCUGUUUUUUCUUUGGUUGGUUCCGGCCGGAAUGUUCGGAUUCCAGUCGGUGGGUUUGUGCUUCCCGGCGUGGAAGGCUCGGAGUGCGCUCGCUUGAUUUAGUCUCAAUGGUUAGCAUAGAACGUUGUAGUCUUGACAACCAUAAGAACCCACGUGGCCGUUAGUUGGACGUGAAUCCCCUGAGGGUAUCUGGCGGAACGUUCUGGAUGUAUUUGCGUAUCUUCCAGCCGUUGCCAACAGAAACUAUUUUUCGGGUUUCCAUUAGGAAUUGUUGCCCCUUAUCUUAAACUACUUAUGUUUGAUAUUGAAUAUACAUUCGCGCGUACAUCGUACAAUAUGUUGAUAAUUUCGCCGACUUAAACCACGUUGACGGGACUCUCGCUGCGUUCAAAACAGCGUUCUACUUGCGGGCCCAUUUCUGAUCAUCAGUGAAGGCUGAAGAUCAUUUCAAGGUGGAUGACAAUUUGGCAUUUCUUCGACGGAACCCUGCACCUGAAUAUGGCUGAGUAUAUUUGAUUGAAUAUCGAUACUGCUUAGUGUUCUUUGUUACUUCUGCUUUCAUACGUUCUAAAUAUCUGGUGUCAAUAUUUGCCACAGAAGUAAAACCCUACCCAAUGGAAUGACGUCAAACAACAACUUUGGUGCUUGGUUACCAACUGGAUAAUAACAAAGCUAAAAUAAUGUCUGUCUUUCCCACAUGUUACAGUAGAAGAAACUCUAGAACUGUAUAAGGUUAAAAAGGUAACAUGUUUGUCCCAAGGUGUCUGCCUCCUCACCCAGAGCCAGACCUCCUCCUCCUCACCCAGAGCCAGACCUCCGCACCCAGAGCCAGACCUCCUCACCCAGAGCCAGACCUCCACCUCCUGUCAAAAGUCCUCCAGAACAGCUGAAAGGCGAGGCUGAGAGGUUGGGGACCGGCUUGUGGUGCCAGGAUGGACCGGAGACUGAGGCUGGAGACCAGGGGCCUGCAGCACCGGACCAGAGGACGUUGGGGCCAGAUAUGAGCUGUUUGUUCCAGACCAGGACUCUGGCUGAGGAGCGCUGAUGGAGGAGCCAAGACUCUGGAGGACGACAUCACUCUACCAACAAGGAUCCUCGUCAGUUUGCAUAAAAGACAAAUUACGUUUGUAACCAGACCAGGAAUCUGGAUUACUGACGGAGAAGCCAUACAUCUGGAAGGCAAAUCCUGAGGACGACCAGGACUCCUCGUAAGUUUGCAUUAUCUGGACCUGGUGGACCAGACACACCUGAGCUGAACCUCACCUGAUCCUGUUUGGUCGGGGUCAGACUCACCUGAGCUGAACCCCACCUGAUCCUGCUGGUCCCGUCUCCUCAGUUUCUUAGCCUCAUCUUCCAGAAGACCUGCUGAACUCAGCGGUCUGAUCCUGAUGGAUCAAUGACCUCCAGUGGGAGUGAUCUUCUUGACCCCACAUGUACCUGUGUGCUUCCACACACCUUACCCUCACAUCUGUCACUAAUCUCACUACUUCAUUAAUCUCUAAUCCUUCCCUUCUUCUUCCUUCUCCGUGGUUCGAACCUUUACUCUGAAGGAGUGUCUUCUUGAACCUUUACACUGAAGGACCGUCUUCCUGCCCUCAGAGGGUUCAGCGUUAGGGUUGAGAGUCAGGGUUUAGAGUCAGGGACAGAGCUGGUUAGGGAGGACUGGUUUUACACAAACCUCUUCACUUGCUUUUGUGAAUGGUGGUGACAUUUUGAAAUGAUUAAUUUGGGAAAAUGUUUUCCUCUGUUUUCCUUUACAAAAGUACGUGUUCAACUGUGUUCAAAGCUUUUUUGUUUAUACUGUAUAUUAAAAUCCUACAUUGACUUCUG